rnacentral:rRNA from 1 species
AUUGAACGCUGGCGGCGUGCUUAACACAUGCAAGUCGAUCGGUAACAGGUGUAGCAAUACAUGCUGACGAGAGGCGGACGGGUGAGUAAUGCUUGGGAAUCUGCCUAUUAGUGGGGACAACCCGGGGAAACUCGGGCUAAUACCGCAUACGCUCUACGGAGGAAAGCCGGGACCGCAAGGCCUGGCGCUAAUAGAUGAGCCCAAGUCGGAUUAGCUAGUUGGUAGGGAACGGCCUACCAAGCGACAAUCCGUAGCUGGUCUGAGAGGACGACCAGCCACACCGGAACUGAGACACGGUCCGGGACUCCUACGGGAGGCGAGCAGUGGGGAAUA